rnacentral:tRNA from 1 species
GCGAGCGUAGCUCAGCUGGUAGAGCACCGGAUUGUGAUUCCGGUGGUCGUGGGUUCAAGCCCCAUCGCUCGCC